ensembl:lncRNA
GAAAAAAUGGGAAUGAAUUUACGCAUUAAUGACAUGAUCAUUUAAUCAUUGUUAAGGACACGAGAGUCAAUAGAUUUCUCAAGCAGGGACUUGGUGAUUAUGGCUUCAUAUACUGUAUAGCUCUAUAACCAAAAAUGCCUUGACAUGAACAUACUCCUUGCAUGGUCAAAAUUGCUAUAUCGUCAGUAUCAACAGAACUAAUUUCAGGUUUGUCUGGUGUUUACAAUGCUACAACCGACCAGAAAUGCUUCCUUCCUAGGUCUGUCAACACCUGUUCAAUCCUCCUCCAAGGUCACCCUCCAAGGUGGCCGGACCUUAUCCAUAGAAUCAGAGCUGCCACCUGCAGAGGUAGUGCCAGUAUUGGCCCCUCCGAGCCUGAAGGAGGUGCAUCAAGCUGUACAGGAAGCCUCGGAGCAGGUGGAAGGUCGUGGGGCAGAGGAAGUGCUGAAGGAGCUACUGGAGAGGGUGGUAGGGGCAGCUCUGGGGCAGGUGGACGGAGGGAGUGAAGUGAAAGCAGAUGAGGGAGCAGGAAAGUUGCAGGAAGUGGUUGAAGAGGAUGCACUGUACGUUGAAAAAGGAGCUGAAGCCAUCUUAGAGGCCAAGGUGUUGGAACAGGCAGUGGAAAAGGAGCUGGAAGGUGAAGAUAUUGUCACCAAGGAAGGGUAUGCUGGUGUUGGGGAGAAGCAGGAGGUAGCAGAGGUGGAUGAAUUGGAAGAUGUAGCUGAAAAAGAGAAAGGAAUUACUGAGGGUGAGAGUGAAACUGCUGCUGGAUCUGUGGAGGAGACCACAGCACGUUUAGAAACUGGAGGCAGCAAAGCAGAUGGUGUGGAGGUUACCAAUGAGUCUCUAGACACUGGAGUCGGUCAGGGGGUUGCAGAGGCAACAUUACCUGUCUUAGAAGAAACAGGAGGCGAUUCAGCAGUAGAGGAGGCAGGGGUGGAAGGCAACAACAAGCAGGUUGAGUCGACAGAGGAAAAGGGAGCAGCAGAAACUGACAUACAGGAAGCAGAGGAAACUCAAGCUACUGUGGAGGUGGCAGUGGAUGAAGAGACAGAGAAGGAGACUGUGGAAGAGUCUAACCUGUCUAACCUUAACCUGUCUGUGGCUGAUGUGGAGCAGUUAGCAGAUGUACUGCCAGAGGAAGAAGCACAGAAGGAAGAAACCGCGGAAGAUGAAUUAGAAAAAGAUGAGACAGUACUGCCAUCUGAUAAUUAUGAGCCAGAGACCAGACAAACUGCAGCAGGAGAGCUGGUAGCGGAGGAGAAAGAGGUAGUGAUGGACACAGAAGGACCAGAAGUAGAGGACAAACAGGACCAUUUAGUGGUGGAGGGAGGAGCUGCUGAAGAGGUAGAAACAGAAGGUACAGAUGUGGGGGAGGCAGCAGGAGGUGAAAGAGAUGGAGAGAGUGAAAUAAAGGAAGAAUCUGUGGCACUGGUGAAUGAGGGGGGUGACCAACAAGCAGGAGAAGAGGUCACAUUGAUGACGUCACAUGGCAGUGAAAAGGGGAAUCAAGAAAUGCUGGUGAUCUCUGCCCCAGAGCCUGGAGAUGGUGCUGAAGCCUCAAUAGAGCAGAACACCGAGAACCAGGCUCCCACCCCGAGCCCAUCCCUAGGUGGGGUAGAGAAGGGAGAGAAUAGCCUUGGUGAUGAGAAAUCAAACCAUGGCAACGAGAUCAUCACCCCUACUGAUGACCUUUUGCCACACAACCCGGAUGUGGCCCAACCUACACUGGAUAAUUCUGUGAAGGAUGCUUCUACCUGAACCCCCUCAGGCGGAAGGAGAGGAACCAGGGGAGGUCAAUGAGCUGGUGGAAGAUUCAACUGGAACCACAGGUACGAAAACAUAUCAAUAUAUUACAGUUGGAACAUGUGUAGGGAAUGUUAAAAUUCACGGUUUUCUCAAGUGCAUCUUCAGAUCUGAAUGCCUUUGGCUAUAUAAC